rnacentral:ncRNA from 1 species
UCGCCUAGGCUAGUAUUACCCUAGGCGAACAUAGGUAGCGUGUAGCA